UUUUCCUUCGUUGCUGGUGAUAAUGUAAACCUGACCUGAAGGCUGGCUUUGGUCCAGCCUUGGCAGCUUUCAGUCACUGCACAGAGGAACAGGUAGCCUCUGGCUCUUUGUUUGUUUUAAAAUUUCUGUGAUGAUUGUGAUCUGGCAGAAAGAAGACAGAUGCAGAUCUUGUUUUAAACAACUGUUGUAAUGGACAAUCUUUCCUGUAUCCAAUAGCAGGAACAUUUUCUGCAUUACCCCAAACUUUGUCAUGAUGAAACAUCUUCUGUGAGAUCAGACCUGACUCCUGAUUGCUAUCACCAGCUGUUGUUACCAAGAAACCUGGAGACUUUCCAGAUAACCUGAAUGUUUUAGUACCAUAGAUGAUGGAUGAUAUUUUUCUGCGUCUCUUCUGCCGCUGUUAUGCGGUGAAGUUCAGCCACUCUGUACAAAGGUUAGACCCAGUUAAAACAGACUGUUAAUUAUUUAUGAGACAGCAAGAAGACCAAUGGGACUUCAACUUGUCCUUCUGGAGCAAUAAUGAGACCAUUACAGUCUAUUUAACACCAUGAAAAACAAUAUCCACAGGUGACCUUUCAGAAUCAUUGCCAAGUUGGAUUUAUGGCCAUCAUGUACUCUCACCAAGGAAGAAUAUCAAAGAGGGGCUUAAAGUUAAAUUGGCACUUCAAUUGGUAACAGCAUCCUGAGGUUUGAUAAUAAUAGAAUCUCUUCAUGUUCCUUUAUUUUGUUUAAGGGAGGGAAUGUAUCUCACAGAGAGAAUCUGAUAGCUGCUGUUGUUUCUUAUAAAUUCUGGGAGCCUACUGAAUACUCUGGGUAUGUGCUGUGAUAUGACAUAACGACAGUGCUGAGAUAUUUCUGUGUCUGUACAUACAAAACAUCUGUAUGUGGAGGAAAACCUCAGCACUCCAUUACUUCAGCCACAUAGUCCCCAAAAACAAUGCCAGAUUUUGAAAGACUAAAACCUUUUUCAGUAGUGCUCAGGACACUGAUGUACAAAAGCUGAAUACCACCAUCACCUCCCAGGGAUGAGAAUUAACUUAAAAAUAAAAAAUACGUAAAACUUUGUUUUCAAUUAGUAACUAAAUCAAACUAAAAAUAUGGUUUGCCUGUCCUUUAUGUUAGCAAAUUAUACUGAGGUAGAUACAAUUUCAAUCCUGAUCCCUAGGUGGGCUUGAAGAGACACGUACAUCUAUCAGAACGGUGACUAUAGAAAGAAAUAAAGACUUAAUCUAAAUGCUGUCACUGAACAAAACAGCAGUGUGUAGAACACAUGCAGCUGUGAAACUGCAGAUGGAAUAACAAGGAAACAGAAGCUAACUGCAUGUCUUGAAACAGAUGUGAAGCAGAAGGGGCAUGUUCCGAG